UACGUAGGGUGCAAGCGUUGUCCGGAAUUAUUGGGCGUAAAGAGCUUGUAGGCGGUUUGUCGCGUCUGCUGUGAAAAUUUCGGGGGCUCAACCCCCGAACUUGCAGUGGGUACGGGCAGACUAGAGUGUGGUAGGGGAGACUGGAAUUCCUGGUGUAGCGGUGAAAUGCGCAGAUAUCAGGAGGAACACCGAUGGCGAAGGCGGCAUCCUGGACCGAGAUUGACACUGAUGAGCGAAAGCUAGGGGAGCAAACGGG
rnacentral:rRNA from 1 species